GAUGAACGCUGGCGGCGUGCUUAACACAUGCAAGUCGAACGAUGAAGCCCAGCUUGCUGGGUGGAUUAGUGGCGAACGGGUGAGUAACACGUGAGUAACCUGCCCUUAACUCUGGGAUAAGCCUGGGAAACUGGGUCUAAUACCGGAUAGGAGCGCCUACCGCAUGGUGGGUGUUGGAAAGAUUUAUCGGUUUUGGAUGGACUCGCGGCCUAUCAGCUUGUUAGUGAGGUAAUGGCUCACCAAGGCGACGACGGGUAGCCGGCCUGAGAGGGUGACCGGCCACACUGGGACUGAGACACGGCCCAGACUCCUACGGGAGGCAGCAGUGGGGAAUAUUGCACAAUGGGCGAAAGCCUGAUGCAGCGACGCCGCGUGAGGGAUGACGGCCUUCGGGUUGUAAACCUCUUUCAGUAGGGAAGAAGCGAAAGUGACGGUACCUGCAGAAGAAGCACCGGCUAACUACGUG
rnacentral:rRNA from 1 species